rnacentral:rRNA from 1 species
UGGGGAAUAUUGGGCAAUGGGCGGAAGCCUGACCCAGCAACGCCGCGUGAGGGAAGAAGGUUUUCGGAUUGUAAACCUCUGUUCUUGGGGAAGAGGAAGAGACGGUACCCAAGGAGGAAGCCCCGGCUAACUACGUGCCAGCAGCCGCGGUAAUACGUAGGGGGCGAGCGUUGUCCGGAAUGAUUGGGCGUAAAGGGCGCGCAGGCGGCCUGUCAAGUCAGUAGUGGAAGUCCAUUUUUCAAGGAUGGAAGUGCUAUAGAAACUGAUGGGCUUGAGUGCAGGAGAGGUUAUCGGAAUUCCCGGUGUAGCGGUGAAAUGCGUAGAGAUCGGGAGGAACACCAGUGGCGAAGGCGGGUAACUGGACUGCAACUGACGCUGAGGCGCGAAAGUGUGGGGAGCAAACAGG